UCACACGACCUUACCCCGUAUGGAUCUCACUGCGAAAGGGUAAAUCUUGCUAGCAAUACCAACAUAGCAAGGAAAAAGAAAUGAUCAAUGCAAAAAAUGCCAAUCGAUGCCAUCUUAGCAGCAUCUCCACUAUCGAUCAACUCCCCAAAUGGAGUCCAGGUAUAAUCGCACGACACAACCAAAAGGGCAAUUCUUAAUGUCUAAUGUCUGGAGAUACUCUUCACUGGUUUUAAUUGUCUUUCUACUCAUUUCAGUAAAGAUUGUUCCACAUGAACUAUCAGAGACCGCGACAUCUGACCGUAACAGGACCUCAUCAACAGAAAAAGGGGCAUUUUAAACAGAAAAAGGAGAAAAAAGAAAAGGAAAGUACAUCACUCCCAGCCUGACGGACUGCAUGAUAGUCGGAUGGGACGAAAGAAAUUGACUGUCAAGGAAUGUACCCGUCUGCACCUGCCUGCACCCGGCACAACCAUCGCCUUCACCACUGCUGCAUCGCCUCCGAAAUCCUUGGUGAAGAUUCUGAAGCAAAUAGGAGAACUAAUGAGUAAGCCAAAUGAAAAAUCAAAGAGAGAUUAUCUCUACAAAGCAGAUGAUAUGGGAAAACAGGACCAACUGCAAGUAGAGGAAAAAUCACAAGUAACAGUUAAAAGCGUCUACAAAUUAACAGCUACUCCCUCCGUUCCAAAAUAGAUGACCCAACUUUAUACUAAAGUUUGUACAAAGUGGAGUCAUCUAUUUUGGAACGGAGGGAGUAGGUAGUAUGAUGCUCCUAAUUAAGUAAUAAUAGGAAGACGUAUAAGUAAGUAUUGAUCAUUCAUUUGUUCCUAAUCAAAAUAAUCUGUGUGAAAGUUUUUGAGCUACGACUUAAAUUUGUUCUGACAAACAUGAUAGUAGAGAUUCAUGCAUUUUCAAAGGACAUGAUAAACAUAACAUGGAGAGAGAUUAUCCUAUACCUAAAUCAGAGGCCCAUAGUUCUGAAGAAAUUCUCCUACACCUAAAUCAGAGACCGUAGUCCUGAACAAAUUAUCCGACACCUUGUAUUUCACUACAGUUACAAACUGGGUGUUUUGAUGUGAGAUUCACUCAGAGUGAACAAUGGAUAUUAAGUGAUCUGGUUUACUACUAAACAGUUGGAUCAAUGCUCAAAUCUAAAGUUUGCUAUGGGUGUAAAACAGAGAACAACCGUGGAUCACUUAAUUCACUCCUUGCGGCGUACCUACCAGCGUCGUGGCGCAGACCUCUGGUCCCUCCUGAGCAUGGCCUCCUGCUAGCCAUGCCGAUGCAGGCAUCCCUGUGCAUCUCACCGCGCACUUGCUCCUGUCCAAAUUACAGCAGUUGCUGCUGGAACCCACAAGCGCACGACGAUGAGAAUUGAAACAAAGCAAACAAGCAGAGUGGGAGGAGGACGGGGCGUACACGGAGGCGGGGCCAUUCCGACGUUGUGGCAGUCUAGGAGCCCGACGGGGGCGUGGCGACCUGUGUGCCGUGGGCAGCCAUCAGGAACGUCGAGCCGCGACGCGGCCUGUUGGCGCCGGAUCCCCAGCAGCGUCACAAUCGCCGGCCCAUCCAUCCCCGCCACCGCGUGCCGUCCUCCACCUCCUGCCCCCUCGAUACAUCAAUUUGAUCUCCUCAAUAUAGCCGCGGAG
rnacentral:lncRNA from 1 species